GACGAACGCUGGCGGCGUGCUUAACACAUGCAAGUCGAACGGAAAGGCCCUGCUUUGGUGGGGUGCUCGAGUGGCGAACGGGUGAGUAACACGUGAGUAACCUGCCUCUGACUUUGGGAUAACUUCAGGAAACUGGGGCUAAUACCGGAUAGGAUCUCCUGCUGCACGGUGGGGGUUGGAAAGUUUCGGCGGUUGGGGAUGGGCUCGCGGCUUAUGAGCUUGUUGGUGGGGUAGUGGCUUACCAAGGCUUUGAAGGGUAGCCGGCCUGAGAGGGUGACCGACAACAUUAGGACUGAGAUACGGCCCAGACUACUACGGGAGGCAGCAGUGGGGAAGAUUGCACGAUGGGCGGAAGCCUGAUGCAGCAACGCCGCGUGCGGGAUGACGGCCUUCGGGUUGUAAACCGCUUUCGCCUGUGACGAAGCGUGAGUGACGGUAAUGGGUAAAGAAGCACCGGCUAACUACGUG
rnacentral:rRNA from 1 species